GGGGGCACGACUGAAGGUUCAUUCACACUUGCACUUAGCCAUAGCUGUCAACGUUUCCCUUUUUUAAAGGGAUAUUCCCUUAUUCCGAAUAGGAUUCCUCGAAAGAAAAGGGAAAAGUUGACAGCUAUGCACUUACCCCAUGCUUUCUAGGCAUGGGUCCAGAAGGUUUUUCUUUUGCGCCUCCGCAAAGAUUUGUUUGUUAAGAAAUCAGCGGUAAACGGUGGGCUUUCCUGGAGGAAAGCGGAGGCACAAAAGGAAAACCUCUUGGAGUCAUGCCUAGAAAGUACUGGACAAGUGGGAUGAGCCCUAAGUCUGCCUGGGAAAGCAUAUUAAAAGUACUUAUGAAAUUGUUGCUACCCCCCCAUAAGGCUUUGGAAACAGUGUAUUCAGCCAGCCACCUGCCUGAGCAGUUAACGUGUGGGGAGCAAUGGGACUUGAGGUCACAUCACUUGUGUGGGGAAUUUUAGGGGAGGGGGACAUGGGAGAGCCAACAUAUGCUGUGCACAACGCUUAGACAACCUCGUUGUGGCAUGCACCAGACUGUGGAUUAUGAAAUGAAUCACUGAUCUAGUCUGGGCCAUAGUGAUCCACUUGGAUCUGAUCAGGCAAGUCCGCUUUGGCAUCCAAGCAGGGACUGUGUCACUGAGGUACAAACUUAUCCUGCAGGGGUCAUAGUUCAUGGUCUAGAAAUAAGUUUUGUGGGCCUAUUGGUGCAAGACUGGUGAUGUUAUCACAUGGCAGUACUUCUGUUUCUUUGUUCAUUCUUACAGAGCAACACUGAAUAUUCUGUGACUUUGGUUAAGAGUCUCUGCCUUUAGUUCAGAUCUGGACAGAGCAGCCAAUGGACAAGUUGUUUAAUUUGAAAAUUGUCGGAAUACACACUGACGUAGAGAAUGGCAAAGUGAUGUACUGUGAUCUGGCAAGGCAUUCUCCUACUGCCACGUCCAUCUCGAAUUUCUGGAAUAAAAAUGUUAAUGACAGUAUGGAGAGAAAUCAAGUUGAGAAGCAUGCCAGUCUUAGGCCUCUGGUGUUUGAACCCCUAUCUUUGACAGCUAAGUCAGAAAUCAAGUAACUUUUGGUUCUGAUACUGUAUAACAAGCAUGUUUUAAAAAUGGGGUCUUCGUCAGUAUUACCCUGCAGACAUAACUCUGUUGUCUGCCAAAUCAUACUGCAUUUUAUUUUGACAAAGAGAGAGCAUUAGAGGGGGGGAGUCACUUUUCAUCACAAAGGCUUAGUAAGGCAAUAAAAAAGCCCCCCUCUCAAGACAUUGUCAUGUACUGCUGGUUAUUUGUGAUAGUUAAAAGAAUUAUUUGGAAACAAAGACAUAUCUCACAAAAGGCCUAAGUCGCAUAAAGCUUUAAUAACAUUUACAUCUGUGUUUCGUCCAUGCUUCGAAAUGUAACCCAUGAAUAACACAUAAACCACAGCAUAUAAAGAGCAGACACACCAGCACAUCAUUUAAAAUCCUACAUGCCCCCCGCCAUCGUCUGUGGAAUCAAGUACACAGCAGGAAUGGUUCCAGUUGAUAGGCGCACAAUGAAGUCAUUGCAGACAAAAACAUAUUAAUUAUGUUCAUUUAAGACUAAUAUAGGAAUUCCCUAAUUGUCCUGUAAUGCUGGUGAUUCAGAAAUCCAAGUUGUUGUGUGAGGUGGACAUGUAUGGUGCUUCAGAAAUGGUGGAAAUUGCUAAGGAUUGUCUUGGACUAAUCCUGCAAUUGUAACAUGCUUCCUGGCAGAGUCAACAACUCGUGGUGGUAACAGAGGACAAAACCAGGAAGAAUUGCAAACGAAGGAUGGGGGGGGGGGAGGAAGGAGUUGUUGGUGCAAAUAAGUAUCUUUGCCCUACAUGUGCUAAUUGUAAAAACAGACCAUUUUGAAAAUGCAGCUGCUACGUACUUAAGGAACCACAGCUGGGAGAAUUGCUUUGUAGUGCUCUUCUGUUAUGGAAGACAUCAAGAGAUGCUUAAUAAAGAGAAUCAAGAGGGCAAUGUCAGAGGGCAUGCGUGGUGGUUUUAUUGUUUGGUCUUGUUUGUCAGUAUUUGGUACCCUAGAUGAUUAUCAGAAAGAUGGACUUAUUCAUCUUCAGAUAGUUUUCUAGGUUGCUUUGUUAAUUUUUAUUCCUAAUCAAGAAGUGUCAGUGUAGCUAUGAGCAUCUGUAGAAUACAGGGAAACAAGGGCCACUUUCAGACAAAGCUGCCUAAUUCUGUUUGUAUUACACUCUUUCAUUUUUAACAUCUCCUUUGAGUUUUGAAGGAGCGUUCACAUGCCAGUUUACAAUUAGGUGCGUUUGAAUGCUGGCUCCCUUUCCCCCUGCUAUAUCCAACAUGCAUCAAGAAAUUUUCAGUCUUUAAUUCUAUGAGAUCUCAAAUUAUCUUCCCCUCUGCAAUGGGUUAAUAGUUCUUAUUUUGAUGCACUUUUAAAAUCCCGCCUCUGGGGAACGGUAUUUCAGUGAGAGCUGAGUGUAAUUGCUAAAUAAUACAGUCGCUCUGUCUUAUUUUAAAUGAGUAAUACUUGAAUCGUAACUGAUGCUGCCGUAUUAUGUCUAAACUGGGGCUAUUCCUUCAUGGUGUUUGAUGGCACCACAGAUGUAGGUGUUUGCGAAUUUAAGCCUCUAGGUUUUAAAACGCUGCACCACAUCGUUUUUAGCUCCUUUAUAUAUGCUCCAGAUUAUGUAUAAUUGAUGGCCUGCAUUUACUGACAUGGGUGGUAUACAGAUGUAAAUGUUAUUAUAGCUUUUAUAUUUUAUGUUCUCUCUGAAAUAUCAUUUUGUCUUUGAAUAAUAUUCUUGUUCAGGUUUCUGGGGGUUGGGUAGGCUGUGUGUGUGUGUGUGUGUGUGUGCAUGCACGCACUGCUGCUGUAGAUGUGUGUGUUAUCUUUAAAAGGGAAUAUGAAUUGGGUAUUGCACAUCAUAUAUUUCUUAAAAGUAAUUUGGAAUUUUAGGAUAUAGGAUUUGCAGUGACUGAUAGGCUGCCUGGAUGAGCUAUACCCCAUUGAAAAUAACCGCGCCGGUACAUGCCUACAUCUGUCUAACCUCAUAAUUCACUUUCACAUUGGGUUAUGGAUGUCUGCAUUCAGUGAGUCUAUCUCCCCUUCAGGUAUUAUUUCAGCCCUUUGAGAUAAUAAGGAAAGUUUAAUUGCGUUGUUAAUUGAUUUUUUGCACAACAUUAUUACCUUGAUUGAUUGCCGAGUUGAUGAAAAUGUUAGACACAGGCAGCGUAAAGUAUCAGCCCCGGUAAGGAGUGGGAGCCUUGCGGAGAAUAGAUAACCUUGAUGUUAAGAGCUAUAUCCUUCAGAUAUGUCUUCCCUUGACAUAUUGAUGGCCCUUGAAAAGGGAAAAGCUGAUUGUAUGCAGAAUGCAAUCAUUAAACCCACUUCAGCUAGCUCUUGAUUAAUUUGUUUUUUUUUUCCUGAAGGAUCUAGUUAAAGAGAAGACCUCACUGGUAUCAACAGCAGCCGUUUCCCAGCUAUCAGAGUACUCUUUAACCCUCUCAUGGUAGAAAGGAUAUAUAUGUGUGUGUGUGUGAUGUGUUAGGGGCUAUUUCUCAUGUCAUGAACUGGCCGAAACAUUGUGGUGUGAACAAUCCAAAUGUCAUCUCCCACCUCCACUUAAUAGCAGGGGCACAAUCCACCAGUGCAAAUUUAGUUGGAACUAAAGAGUGAACCCAUUCAAGCGUACAGUAGUAUUCUCUGUCUGACUCCCACUCGGUCACCCUUAAUGGUGCCAAAAACCUGCUACCUUGAGGCUUCUGCCGCAGCUUGCCUCAUGGUAGGGUUUUCCUUAUAUCAGGUUUACUUUUGUGCUGGGGGAAAAAAAGAGUACAUGGAGGUGCACCAAAAAUAUACUGUGAGAUUCACCAAACACACAAGUAUCUUACAUGAGAAGACCUACACAACUAUGCUGCUUCCAGAAUCUUACUUUUCUUGUGGCCUCUCUCCUACAGAUUUCUGUGUGGCACAUGUAUUAAGGUUCUUACAUUAUUAUCCCCAAGCAUUUCUUUACCAGUAAUGUUAAGUGAGAAGCCCCCUUUAAUUUAGAUUAGGAAAAUCUGACAAAAAUGUUUUCUUCUGACUACAGUUAGAAUUCUGCCCACAAUAACAUCCUACUGAAGUUCCAUCUUGGAGUGUUUGAGUAUUUGGUUGCUUCAGUGGGGCAUGGUUACCUACUGGUAGCUUUUUCAAAAGGGGCUAAUGCAGAGAAUCGGUGCUCCUGUUUAAUCUGUUACACUUUUUGCACCCAAAGUCUGCUUUCAAGUUUGUACUGUGGUCAGUCACACAACAUAUGCUUUUUUACUCCUGACUGAGCAUGGUGAGGUCAGCCUAUUUUGGUGAUACCAUGUUAGCACAUGCACUUGAGAAAGUGUCCAGUCCAGUCCAGGCAAGCUUCAAGUUGGUGGACUUAUGGCAGCAGUGUCCCAUAAGCUUACUUCUGCAAAUAUAAACUUCUUAAAGCAGUUGCUGUUGGACAAACUGAGUAAUUCGUUUGUUUGCCGUUGGAGAUGCAUGUAUAUGUGCACUGUCUUCGCUACGCAGGCAUUUGUUUUAAUUAAGUUUUUUUUUGUAGGAACACAAUCAAGGUAGCAAUUACUCUUACCAAUUAGCACAUGAAUCCAUGAGCAGCUGCCACUGUGCCAAAUUUGUAUUGGUGGCAACUCCAAGUCAUGAGUCUCUCUCACACACAGCAUAUGCCUGGCUAGAACACCAUGCAUAUUGAGUAUUUCGCAGACAUAGCCAUGCGCCAAUGGGGCCUUGGAAGAACAUGCCAUAGGGUGUGUGCUUUCUCGUGGUACAUUUCAUAGCUCAGUUCUAGCAUCUUGUUUGAAACACACUUUGAUUGUUAGAAGGGGAAAGUGUCAAUAGACCAAACACACACACACCCCAUGCACGCUUUUUUAACCUGGCAAAAUAUGGACAUCUUUGUCAUCUGUUGCACCAGGAAGGCCAAACCAUUAAGAUGUCAAGAGAUUUAGUGUGAAUAUAGUAUGUUGUUCAGCGUCUAUUUACAUCAUUUUAAAUAUUAAAAAUAGGGUUGAAAUACAGGUCCAGGAUCUAAAAGUUACUAAGUCUCAUGCAGUUGUGCUAAUCUAAUGGGCUGCUUUGUGGUUGUUUUAGCACACACAGCAGGUGCACACAAACAGACCCAUGCCGUAUCACAAACUCCUUUUUUUUGAAAUGCCUUUCAGUUUCAGAAGAAAUUUAUCAUGCAGGAUGGCAGGCUUCUGUUUGAAAAGAACAUGCCUGGAGCCUGUUUGGCUCAUGAAACUAGUCUUAUGGGUCUUGAGAUCCUGCCCCAGGUCACUAAUGUGGUGCUAUUAUUGAUGGAGGACACAUUGAUUAAUACAAAGUGGCAAAGGCACCACUAUCUGUGGUCUGUGUGAAAUAUUUUAUUUUCCAUUGGGAUUUAAUUUCUUAGGAGGAAAAAACAACCCUCUGAACAAUUAAAUAAAAUGGGCAAAGCUUUCUAACUUUUCUAAUUAUAGUGGACAGGGACCCUAACAUAUGAACACUCCAUCAAAAUGAACAGUUAGCAAGUGGAUUGCUUUGGCUUAAGGUAACCUGCAUGUAAUAAUUAUAUUGGUGUGUUGAUGUUCAUGGUCUUCUCCUGUAAGGAAGGAUGGGGUAGCUGCUGGUGGUCAUAGAAUCAGAGAAUUGUAGAGUUGGAAGUGAUAUCAGGUUCAUCUAGCCCAACCCCUUGGAAUACAGGAAUCCUGCCCACCGCUGUCCCUGGGUAGGUUUGAACCACCAGCCAUCAGGUUAACAGCAAAGACUGUGGUCACACGCCCAUGAAACAAAUCUUGGUGUUCUGAUUUAUAUCUACGGACUUUCAAAGUCACCUAAAACUUGUGCCUCUUGCUGUCAGGGCUUAUGGGAUACCACAGAAUAUUCUGGACCCAGUAUAGUGUACAUAGAUUGAGUUCUUCACGUCAAGUGUGUGUGGGGGGUGUCUCACUGGCUUCAUGCCCACUGGCUCUGUAAGCAAGUUUUAAAGGAAAUUUUAAAGAGGGGAGUUUGGACAGGAGAUCAGGGCCUAGUACAAAAGACCUGAGCCAUGGGGCCCCAUCAACCACCCCCCUGACAAAGUCCCUGGCUACCCACACCCACUAAAUACAGGACAGCAGCCUUUCCUCUCCCUGCCCCACCAGAAGGUGGUGGGUCAGACUGGGCUUAUUGUCCUAGUUUUUUACUUUUUGAAAUAUGGCAGCCCUAGAUAGGUGCCACAAACAAGGAAAGUUUGAAGUAGCUGUGAUGGUUUGUAAGAAAACUACACAAGUGCCGCUAUCUCAGCUAGGGAAGGACAAAUAUGUCUAUUUCCAGAUUGUGUUAAUUUCGCACAUGUUGAUAAGUCUGUUUCAUGACAUUUUUACAUUUAUCUGAUUGAUUGAAUAAAUAAACAUUUAACUGUAUUUUAUCUCUGUGUACAUUUUAAGAUGUAUUUUACCCUAAAGUAUGUAUUUUUUUUACAUGUUUCUUUAGUUCAGAACUGUAUUGUAAAAUACAGAGAAGUGUGAAAUCCAAAUAAUAAUUACACACUGUGUAAUAAAGUGUGUUAGUAGUCACUUCACUUAGAAAUGGGGGCCAAAUAAAAUUCUCUUUCACCCCUAAUUUCACCUUAGACUUAUGCAAAUCUAGUUCCACAUAACUUUUCAAUAAGCAGAACAGAACAACAGCAUUUGUCAUAAAUAUAAAGAUAUGGCAGCAAUAAAAUUCGGGUUCAAUGAAAUUCAGAACACUGGACAUGUUAUGUUCAGCCCCUUCCCAAUUACCUUUAAUGUAACCCCACCUUCACAUGCUAAUUGUGUGAAGAGGGUCCACUGAAAGCUCUUGCUCAUUGGGCAACAUCACACAGCUUUGCCAGGUCUACUGCCUCUGUGCCAGCUUUCUACAUGAAUAACUUCCCCUCCUCAGAUAUUCACACCUUUUAUGUGGGAUUUCAACUGCAUCCCCACUCAGAAUUCAUCAGGGGUGAGAAAGCCAUGUGGCAUUUGGGGAUGGACCAUCAUGUGCCCCCCGCCCCACUUUCUCCUUUCAAUGUGUAGGUCCCCUUCAUGUGAUUAAUGCAUGGAAGGGGCUAUAGAUGUUGCUUGCCCCACUUCAGGUACACAGUGAAUUAAUUUUUCAGUGAGCUGCUCACCACAUUCCAAAAACCACUUUCCUGAGAGUUCACAACCAAUUCAGAACCUAGUAUUUAGAAUUAAAAUUGUGUUGCAAUCUUAAACACUCUGACUAGGGAGUAGAUCCUAUUGAAUACAGUGGGCUUACUUUCUAAUAAACGUAAGAUUUUGCAGUCAUUUAUCGGAUGACCUAAAUUGGAGUAGCUAUUGCUUAUUGUUGCUGUUUUUUAAGUUUUAAAGGGCAAUCAGUGUAAAGAAUGCAGUGUAAAUAGAUAUAUUUUCGGAUAAGUAUUUUGUGCAUAUAUUUUUCUAAACGCAGAGAUAGAACAGGUUUCAUAAUGUUCACAUGCAAAAAUGACACAAACAAGGAGAAGCACACAAAUUGGUUUAAAUUUUGUCCAAGUGUCUUGCGGCAUCUUACCUUAAAGACUAACUGAUUAAUCUUGGCAUGAGCUUUCAAAGACAAGACGCGCCCCCUCC